CUACCCUUGACCCUGGGAUAACAGCUGGAAACAGCUGCUAAUACCGGAUAUGAACUCAGCAGGCAUCUGCAGAGUUGGAAAGCUCCGACGGUCAGGGAUGGGCUCGCGGCCUAUCAGCUUGUUGGUGAGGUAACGGCUCACCAAGGCGACGACGGGUAGCCGGCCUGAGAGGGCGACCGGCCACACUGGGACUGAGAUACGGCCCCAGACUCCUACGGGAGGCAGCAGUGGGGAAUAUUGCGCAAUGGGCGAAAGCCUGACGCAGCAACGCCGCGUGC
rnacentral:rRNA from 1 species